GGCAAUAACUGGGCGGUUUUAAUUCGAUGAAAGCCUCGAAGCGUUCUCUCACCAUCGGCGCGUGAGCGCGUGCGUUGCAAGGGCGCACUGUGCGUGGAACUCUCGGGAACUGCCAUUGUGCUGCAUGAUUGUAGGAGCCGCUCACUUCUUUGAAAUGUGCAGCACCAUGACUUCAUUUCUCAUCCUAAGUGGCGCAUUCGUGAUGACCACGGCGCAGAGGAAGAUCCGCUUCGAAAAUUGUACAGAGAAAGCUACUGAUUCGGAAGCCUCAUGAAGACCAAGCUAUAAUUCACGAUUGCAUGGGUGCAUAUAUAUAGUUGAAGCUCAGGGCGGUGAGUCCAUCCAGUCCUUCGUGGUCACCCCAUGCAGCAGUGACCCGUGCGUCGUACCUAUUGGGUCUGGCAUCAACAUCUCCUUCGAACUGAUCUCGAACCAGGACAGUGUCAACUUGCGCUUGGACCCUCGUGUGCAGUUGCUCACUAUCGAGCUGCCUAUCCCAGGUGUCGAGAGGGACGCCUGCAAGCUCACGAACACAGCAUGUCCAGUCUCAGAGGGCCAGCUUGUCCGUGGCACUGUGCCCGUGCACGUGUACAGCUUUUUGCCACCGAUGACAGUGGUGACAAUUUGGCGGGUGUACGGUGACAAGGGUCUCAUGGCGUGUGGAACUACCAACGUGACUAUCUCCAGAAUAUGACCAUCUCACGUGUGUAUGUACAAUGCGUAUAUAUAAUGCCAACUAAGGACGUGUUUUUACCAUUCAGAAAGCGUGCUUGCGGCAAUAUAUAAGUGCAGAAGAAUCCCUGUGAAGCACAAGAUUGUGUCUUUCCCAAAGCGUUCAUUUGUAAAGUAGCAAAUAUACGUUCUAAGCGCUACAUGCAGCCGUAUCCAAUUAGGCUUUUUAUUGUAAUGUAUACAUAUAAAAAUAAAUUGUGUGCAUGUU